rnacentral:lncRNA from 1 species
CGGAGAGCGGCCACGGCGGCGGCGCCUCCCCAAGUGGCCCGUUGCGUCCGACCCCGCGUGAAAGAAUCUUGCUCUAUUGCACAGGCUGGAGUGCAGUGGCACCAUCUCGGCUCACUGCAGCCUCUACCCCCCGGGUUCAAGCAAUUCUCCUGCCUCAGCCUCCUGAGUAGCUGGGACUACAGAUGCACACCACCACGCCCGGCUAAUUUUUGUAUUUUUGUAGAGAUGGGGUUUCACCAUGUUAGUCAGGCUGGUCUGGAACUCCUGACCUGAGGUGAUCCACUUACCUCGGCCUCCCAAAGUGCUGGAUUACAGGGGUGAGCCACGGUGCCUGGCCCAAACAUCUUGAUAUAAUUUUGUUCUGCUGAUUUUAUGAAAUUCCUCCCUUUUCAGAACUGUAAUAAACAAUAUUGGUUUAAUUCUGUUUGUUUAGUUUUUCUAAGUUAGAUUUAAAUAAAUUUAAGUUUUUACCUCAUCUGGCAUUGGUGUGAAAUGAGAAUCUAAAUGUUUUCCUCCAAAUUGGUAAUUUUCUCAACUCUGUUAAAUAAUGCUUUAUUUAAUUUUUUAAUUUUUCUCAUUUUUUUGUUAUGCUUCAUUUUUACAUUUUAAUCAUUUUUAUUUUAAAUUGUUUAUUUUUACCCCAAGCCUUAAGAACAUUCAUAUUGUUUUUAGAUGAUUCUGUGAUAUGUUUAAUAUCUUUUGCCUUGGCUUUCUUAUUGUGGUGUUUGUUUCCUUAUUUAUUUUUAAGAUUACUGUAAGUUGAGGAUAAUAAAGUUUAUUUUUUAACAAAACAAUGUUUUAUAAUUCCUUUUCUUGUCAGCCAGAAUUUGAAAUAAGAUUUUUCCAUACCACAUAAUUUGGUUGCAUUAAAUGAAAAUUUCCCCCUUUUUGAACAGAGAUAAAAUGUGAAACUACUUAAAAGUACUAUGCUGGCCACAGUGGCUCAUGCCUGUAAUCCCAACACUUUGGGAAGCUGAGGUGGAAGGAUCGCUUCAGCCCAGGAUUUGGACACCAG